AGAAAAAUGUACUUUUCUGCAUGAAAGUCCUGAUAAGUUUAAGUUUCAACCAACCAAUGACAAUGGAGGGAGUUCUGGGAUCAAGGUUGAGACUGUGGUUGACCAUGGUCAACGUCAAACUAUUGUAGGUCAAGAUUCUGUGAAGACUCAUGGGCUUGCAGGAAGCUCGACUGCAGCCAACGCGGUUCCUGGUCCCAUCACCACUGAACCACCAGCUACUAGUUCAGCCUCUGUUGUUCCUGUCACACCACCGCGUCUAGGAAGGGGGUUCUUGAAACUAGCGGGUAAGAAGUUGGGUGGCAUCUAUGGAGACUGGAUUGAUGAAGAAGAAGAAGAUAACUUGGAUUAACAAGGAACCUGAAAACCUUUGUUACCAAAAAAAAACUGAGUGAUAUCUUUAGUAUUUGGUGUUUCCUUAAGAUUUUAUGUGGCUUUUACUUUUUUUAGACCAUUCUUCCCAAAAUGGGUGAAACUCAUAUGCAUGUAUCUUGCCAUUGUUGUCGCCUUAGACAUUCUCAUUUGGGGGAUAGAAUCUUUUUAAAAUUAUGUCGUGAAAGUUUACUUUGGA